CUCCUUCCAUUUCUCAGCUAAGACACGCACCUCUUACCUUCAAGCCACGGAUAACUUGAAAUCGCCAUCCAAGAAGCCAGCCCUGGUCACACCAAGGGGGCGAGAGAGCCAGCAGGUCCUGGGCCCACCGAGCACCCAGCAGUCAGGACAUGGCAUCUGAUGAGCUCACCGCUGGCAGAAGAUAGGGGCUCAGCACCAAAUGGCCAGUCCCUCCAAGCCAGAGGGGGCACAGGGCAGGAGUGGCUGUGGUGGGUGACAUUGGCCGUCCAGGAGGACACAGCCAGGUCAUCACCCGUGGUGUGGCCAGUGAUGUUAAUGAAGCUGAAACUGCAUGUGACCCUUGACCCUGCUGGAAGGACAUGGAUGCUUCAAGGUAGUACCCCAAACAGACUCAACCUUCUCAGGAUGCGGAAUUCUCUUUGAAGACCAACAACCCCAGAAUUGAAACCUCCAUCAUGGGACUUCGCUGGUUAGGACACCAUGCU